AAUGCUCGGCGGGACAGACGGCCCUGUAACAACGGGCCGCCCCCGCCAGAGGACCCCUAACUCUGUUUUUAUAAUGUUUUUCUGAGUAAACAAGCAAAUAAAUUAAAACUUUCAACAACGGAUCUCUUGGCUCUGGCAUCGAUGAAGAACGCAGCGAAAUGCGAUAAGUAAUGUGAAUUGCAGAAUUCAGUGAAUCAUCGAAUCUUUGAACGCACAUUGCGCCCGCCAGUAUUCUGGCGGGCAUGCCUGUUCGAGCGUCAUUACAACCCUCAGGCCCCCGGGCCUGGCGUUGGGGAUCGGCAGAAGCCCCCUGUGGGCACACGCCGUCCCUCAAAUACAGUGGCGGUCCCGCCGCAGCUUCCAUUGCGUAGUAGCUAACACCUCGCAACUGGAGAGCGGCGCGGCCAUGCCGUAAAACACCCCAACUUCUGA
rnacentral:sRNA from 1 species